rnacentral:ribozyme from 1 species
AAACGUAAGAAACGAGAAAGAAAAAGAAGUUCAUAAGAAGAUUGAAAAAAAGAAAAAAGUUUUGCAGAGCUAACCAUCUUGUGUUUCUAUAUCCCUCUCUGUUUUUUCUAGGAAAGCGUGGGUCGCGCUCGCUUCGACAUGUUGGGAAAAAUGGUGCUGCCUUGUGGGAAGCCACCUGAAGACGAAGAACAGUGAG